rnacentral:rRNA from 1 species
CAUGAAGCUGGAAUCGCUAGUAAUCGCAGAUCNGAAUGCUGCGGUGAAUACGUUCCCGGGUCUUGUACACACCGCCCGUCACACCAUGGGAGUUGGAAAUGCCCGAAGCCAGUGACCCAACCGUAAGGAGGGAGCUGUCGAAGGUGGAGCCGAUGACUGGGGUGAAGUCGUAACAAGGUAGC